rnacentral:lncRNA from 1 species
AUUUUUAUUUAUUUUUAGUCUCAAGUAUUGUGAUUUGGAAAACUGACUUACAACAGGCAAAAGAACAGUUGAGGAGUCUAAUAAUACUCUAACAAUAUAUUGCCUUUUCUUAUAAACUGCAUUGAAAUAACGAGGAGGUUUGUUAAACUUCUGUGCAGCUCCUAGAAUUUUUGAAGAUACUAAGAAUUUGAUAAUAGGCAUUUUAACUAAGUGGAAAACCCCCUAAACAUCGAUAGAAUAGCUUCUCAAAUUAUUUUAGAGCAACAGCCAUGAAAAUGAUGUGAAAGGAGAGGUUAAUAACAACAAUACAUUUCCAUAAAACACUUCAAUAAUAUGGUAACAGAUGUGAUCGACAUCUUUUAAGUGCUUAUUCUGUGCCAGGCUCUGUGCGCCUGUGUGUGUGUGUGUGCAUGAAUGCACAUAUGUUCCUGUGUAUGUGAGUCAACACACACCAAGAAUACUUUAAAGAAUAACUUUAUUAAGAUAAAAUUCAUGUAAUAUUUACUUUUUGCAAGUGUACGAUUCGAUGAUUUUAGUAAGUUUGUGGAGUUGUGCAACCUCCAUCACAAGCCAGUUCUAGAGCAUUUCCAUCACCUCAAGAUGUCCUCUUGUGCCCGUGUGCAGUCAAUCUCGCUCCCACUCCCAGUCGAGACUGUUUCACUCUGUCUCCAUGGAUUCGCCUUUUCUGGACGCUGCAUGUUAAAUGGAAUCAUACAAGCUAUCAUCUUUUGAGUCUGGUUUCUUUCACUUAGCAUAAUGUUUUUGAGAUUCAUCCGUGUGGUACCAGAUAUCACUAGUUUAUUCAUUUUUAUUGGUGAAUAGCAUCCUAUUGUAUGGAUAUACAGUGUUUUGUUAGUCCAUUCACCAAUUGAUGGGCAUUUAGAUUAUUUCCAGUUCUGGAUUAUUACCAGUAAAGCUGCCGUGACUCUUUGCUUACCUGUCUUUGUAGACACACAAAAUUUUAAUCGUCCCAAUUACCCUAUGGUUUAGGACCAUUAUAACUUCCUUUUCUCCGGAUAAUGAAAGCGAGGCUCAAAAAUUAGGAAACUUGUCCAAGGUGAUAAACGCAACUGGGGUAAUAUUUGGAGAAACUGUUGAAUGCGCUUUCUUCUCUUGCGCUUCAGAUCCUUGACUGACUCCCCAAUUAGCUCCCAGUCAUUCAUCUCCUUCAGGUGGGAGGUGGAGGUAUUAGGAGCAUUUUAGCAGAAACGCAAAGAUAAAAGAGUGAGUUAAUCAGCUUCUGACAUUCAAUAUAAAAUUUAGGGACAAGAUAGUAAGAUGAAAAGCCAGGUUUGAGCAGGAGUGGGUGCAGAGAGAGGGAAAAGGAGAAUGGGGAAGGAACCUCUCCCACCUGCUGGCUGGCUGUUUGGAUCCUGGCCCGGGUUAGGAGGAGGGUAUGGCAAAGUCUGAGGAGAAGGUAGGGUCCUGCUCCUCCAGCCAGGACUUCAGUGGGGAGAAGAGGAUUCUGUCUGGAUCCUAAAAAAGAGGAAAUAAAAAGCUGUGGAACGUGUCAGCCUUCUAAGUCCCGUAACCGUCUUCUUGCCAUCAAUCCUCAUUAAAGCAGAACUCUGAUUUCGUUGAGGUGGCACUGACUCCCAGAUGAGAGACUACAUUCC